GGGGGGGGGGGGGGGGGGGGGGGGGGGGGGGAGGGCGGGCGGGGGGGGGGGGAGAGCGGGGGCUGGCGGGGGGCGAGGGGCGGAGGGGUGAGGAAUGCAGCGGAAGCGGCGUUGUCGUGGGGGAUCACGUAGGGAAACUUACGCUAAUACCGCAUACGACCUACGGGGGAAAGCAGGGGAUCUUCGGACCUUGCGCGAUUGAAUGAGCCGAUGUCGGAUUAGCGAGUUGGCGGGGUCAAGGCCCACCACGGCGACGCUCCGUAGCUGGUCUGAGAGGAUGAUCAGCCACACUGGAACUGAGACACGGUCCAGACUCCUACGGGAGGCAGCAGUGGGGAAUAUUGGACAAUGGGCGCAAGCCUGAUCCAGCCAUACCGCGUGGGUGAAGAAGGCCUUCGGGUUGUAAAGCCCUUUUGUUGGGAAAGAAAAGCAGCAGGUUAAUACCCCGCUGUUCUGACGGUACCCAAAGAAUAAGCACCGGCUAACUUCGUG
rnacentral:rRNA from 1 species